rnacentral:rRNA from 1 species
AUACGGAGGGUGCAAGCGUUGUCCGGAUUUAUUGGGUUUAAAGGGUGCGUAGGCGGCCCGUUAAGUCAGUGGUGAAAGGUAUCAGCUUAACUGAUGAAGUGCCAUUGAAACUGAAGGGCUUGAGUACAGACGAGGUAGGCGGAACUUAUGGUGUAGCGGUGAAAUGCAUAGAUACCAUAAAGAACACCGAUAGCGAAGGCAGCUUACUAGACUGAGACUGACGCUGAGGCACGAAAGCGUGGGGAGCAAACAGGAUUAGAAACCCCGGUAGUCC